UGGGGAAUUUUGGACAAUGGGCGAAAGCCUGAUCCAGCAAUGCCGCGUGUGUGAAGAAGGCCUUCGGGUUGUAAAGCACUUUUGUCCGGAAAGAAAUCCUUGGCUCUAAUACAGUCGGGGGAUGACGGUACCGGGAAGAAUAAGCACCGGCUAACUACGUGCCAGCAGCCGCGGUAAUACGUAGGGUGCAAGCGUUAAUCGGAAUUACUGGGCGUAAAGCGUGCGCAGGCGGUUUGCUAAGACCGAUAUGAAAUCCCCGGGCUCAACCUGGGAACUGCAUUGGUGACUGGCAGGCUAGAGUAUGGCAGAGGGGGGUAGAAUUCCACGUGUAGCAGUGAAAUGCGUAGAGAUGUGGAGGAAUACCGAUGGCGAAGGCAGCCCCCUGGGCCAAAUACUGACGCUCAUGCACGAAAGCGUGGGGGAGCAAACAGGAUUCAGAUACCCUGGUAGUCCACGCCCUAAACGAUGUCAACUAGUUGUUGGGGAUUCAUUUCCUUAGUAACGUAGCUAACGCGUGAAGUUGACCGCCU
rnacentral:rRNA from 1 species